UAAACAUGUGCAAAAUCAUCAAAGUUUGAGACUAGCAAUUGCUUCCUAAUUUUGUCAUAAAAAAAUUGUCAUAGGUUGAGUGAGACCAUAUUCCCUAGUUUGUAUCUGUUUGUAUUGUUUUCCAUCAGGUGAAAUAACUAGGAUACUUUUAGACAGAAAACCAACGACAAAAACAUUUCCUUUGUCGUCUACGGUAAUUCCUCCUGGGCACUUUAACAUCUUUUCAUUAAUGAAUUCCCAAACUACCUUUCCACUUUUUAGACAAUAUACUAUUACCUUAUGUGAUUCUAGUACGGAGCAAAAGAUAUUGUCACCAUGGGUAGUAAUGUACGAGUUUGGAGGCAUGCACGUGCUCGGAAUACUGGUACAGCUAAAGUCUGUACAAGCUAUUAUAUGCAUACAAUUUCUGUUAGAACAGCAAAUUAAGGAUUUUCCAUCAAAAGUAAUGCCAUAGGGUGAAUCAGAUAAUUCAAUAAACCUCUUUAUUUUUCUGGUCGUCAAAUCAAUAAUCAAAAUACCAGUAUUUCGAAAUAAAUAUCCAGUGGUAACAGCUACUGUGUUGUCGUCUAUACAUGUUAAAUCGUAUGCACCAUGCUGAUGAUUAAGUUUGAGGAUAUAUUCAGUCUCACCAUAUAAGUCUAUUACUACAAGUUUCUGUCCAUAUUCAUUGCUGUCAGUAAAAAGAUAUCUAUCUUUUGUAG
rnacentral:lncRNA from 1 species